rnacentral:lncRNA from 1 species
UCUUUGGUAUAUAUUUUAUCGGUGGUACGAAUCAAGGUAGAGAGAAAAGGAAUGUCUUCUCAAAGCUUUCACUACCAAUUCCUAACUGAAAAGCAUUCGAGUAUUCUAUAGUGUUUAUCUUGUCAGUGUAGUAAACAUUGAGUUCAUCAUACGCCCUUUCUUAGUGGUGGCUUGAGUUUACUGUAGUUAUUGGUCAUGCUUGAAUAAACAUACCGUUUCAUCACCUCACCCUUUCUGAUUGGCUGGCCGGCAGUCACACCAUUGCGGUGACCAAUCAUGUGGAUGAUCAAUGUAUAGUGAGACUAUGAAUGGGUUUGGUUAAGGUAAUCAAGAUGUAAGGAGCUAUGAAUUUUAGCUGGCUGGUUCACCCUAUCUCCCUUUAAGGUCAUUUGCAUCAUUACAGGCACCUACCCUCUUCCCACACUAGUAAUUUUAACACUAUUGUUCCUAAUUAAGAGACUCAUUAACAAAGAAUCUGGCAACCAGUAAAGAUAGAAAUUAUUUUUAGUUAAUUAAGUACCUACAAACGUAACACAUUGAGCUCAAGUAAUUUGGUGGCCAAAUCAGGGUAAACAGAAUUGUUCUUUGGGGCCCAGCACACACCAAAUAGUAAAACAGUAGACAUAUCAAGGAAUCGUACUGUUAUUGAUCUUUCUUUCACAACUUGGGCAUCGGCCAACAGUUAGCAUCUGCCAUCACGUUUUUUUUACAUCUACCGGUACUCCGCUCCAACUUCUUAUCAGAUAUUAAGCUCCACCUAGGGACCUUUACAAUGCAAGACCUAUGAUACAGUUGCCCUACUGAACAAUGCAUUCUUUAAACGAAUUUAGUUGCUAUCAAACCAGGAAUUUAAUGCUGUAUAAACAACGGUAUGGUGAACUACUGUAUGUUGUUGGUCAUUACAUUAGUUUUCUUUCUUUUUUUUUUAAACAGGAAUCUGAUUCAGAAAUACUGCGGAAAAAUGCUGAAGAAAAAUUGUUUUGUACAUAGUACAGUACAUUAAGACAGAAUAUGGAACAAAUUCAGCUAUUCUGAUUGUAAUAUUGACUUUGGCACGUCUAUAGGCUGCUGUGGUAUUGAUUAUAUUUUUUUAAAGAUAUAAAUAGGUCUACUGUAUGAAAUUUUGUUAAAAAAAAGAUUUAAAACAUUAUCUUCAACACCUUAAUAAAUAUUGUAGAUAUUUUUUAAUAUCACCACUGUCGAUUGUGGAAAUUGUAGCUCAGACAGACAAAACUCAGACAUUGAUUAUACUGUACAGUGGGUGUGUUAACCAGACUUCAGCAAAGAUUUGCCCACAACAGAUCUAAAUCUUUCACAUGAUAAAUCUUUUUUUACGAUUAAACUAAACUAUUAUUAAAUAGCUACUGUAUAAUACUAGAAGGUGCUCUGAAAUUGUACUGAUCAAAGCAAUAUAUUUAUAAUACUGUAUAUAUAUGUGUUAGUAUAUUCUAUGUUAACACAUAAUAAUGGCUAUAUACUAUUGUACAACAACUACAAGGUUUAGCUCUGAUAAAAUUCAGUCAUGAUUAUAGAGAUUAUACUCCAUGGAGGGUGUGUUAACCAAUUGACGAAUCAGGUUUUAGCAAUAAAAGGGUUCGUCACAGAUUGAUUGACUAUGUCAAGCAUUAGCCAAUCAGGUGCGUUCUAACUGAAGGAUGCCAUAA